AGUGGACGCUGGCGGUAGGCCUAACACAUGCAAGUCGAACGGCAGCACAGUAAGAGCUUGCUCUUACGGGUGGCGAGUGGCGGACGGGUGAGGAAUACAUCGGAAUCUACUUUUUCGUGGGGGAUAACGUAGGGAAACUUACGCUAAUACCGCAUACGACUUACGGGUGAAAGCAGGGGAUCUUCGGACCUUGCGCGAUUGAAUGAGCCGAUGUCGGAUUAGCUAGUUGGCGGGGUAAAGGCCCACCAAGGCGACGAUCCGUAGCUGGUCUGAGAGGAUGAUCAGCCACACUGGAACUGAGACACGGUCCAGACUCCUGCGGGAGGCAGCAGUGGGGAAUAUUGGACAAUGGGCGCAAGCCUGAUCCAGCCAUACCGCGUGGGUGAAGAAGGCCUUCGGGUUGUAAAGCCCUUUUGUUGGGAAAGAAAAGCAGCAGGUUAAUACCCCGCUGUUCUGACGGUACCCAAAGAAUAAGCACCGGCUAACUUCGUG
rnacentral:rRNA from 1 species